rnacentral:rRNA from 1 species
CCUACGGGGGGCUGCAGUGGGGAAUAUUGGACAAUGGGGGGAACCCUGAUCCAGCCAUGCCGCGUGUGUGAAGAAGGCCCUCGGGUGGUAAAGCACUGUCAGUGAGGAAGAACGCCUGGUGGUUAAUACCCAUCAGGAAAGACAUCACUCACAGAAGAAGCACCGGCUAACUCCGUGCCAGCAGCCGCGGUAAUACGGAGGGUGCGAGCGUUAAUCGGAAUUACUGGGCGUAAAGCGCGCGUAGGUGGCUUGAUAAGCCGGUUGUGAAAGCCCCGGGCUCAACCUGGGAACGGCAUCCGGAACUGUCAAGCUAGAGUGCAGGAGAGGAAGGUAGAAUUCCCGGUGUAGCGGUGAAAUGCGUAGAGAUCGGGAGGAAUACCAGUGGAGAAGGCGGCCUUCUGGACUGACACUGACACUGAGGUGCGAAAGCGUGGGUAGCAAACAGGAUUAGAUACCCCUGUAGUC